rnacentral:rRNA from 1 species
AACGAACGCUGGCGGCAGGCCUAACACAUGCAAGUCGAGCGCGCCCUUCGGGGUGAGCGGCGGACGGGUGAGUAACGCGUGGGAACGUGCCCUUUUCUACGGAAUAGCCUCGGGAAACUGAGAGUAAUACCGUAUACGCCCUUUGGGGGAAAGAUUUAUCGGAAAAGGAUCGGCCCGCGUUGGAUUAGGUAGUUGGUGGGGUAAUGGCCUACCAAGCCGACGAUCCAUAGCUGGUUUGAGAGGAUGAUCAGCCACACUGGGACUGAGACACGGCCCAGACUCCUACGGGAGGCAGCAGUGGGGAAUCUUAGACAAUGGGGGCAACCCUGAUCGAGCCAUGCCGCGUGAGUGAUGAGGGCCUUAGGGUUGUAAAGCUCUUUCAGCUGGGAAGAUAAUGACGGUACCAGCAGAAGAAGCCCCGGCUAACUCCGUG